GCCCCUUUAGCACAGUGGUAGUGCGUUGCACUCGUACAGGGUUGGUGUUUUUCUUCAUCACCUUACACAUAUCAGGAGGUUUGUCCUGUAUUACGGUCAUGCAAAGGUCCUGUGUUCAAUCCACAGAGGGGGCA